CUCUCGGCAAUGGAUAUCUCGGCUCUCGCAUCGAUGAAGAGCGCAGCGAAAUGCGAUACGUGGUGCGAAUUGCAGAAUCCCGCGAACC
rnacentral:rRNA from 1 species